AGUGACCGAUAGUGAACCAGUACCGUGAGGGAAAGGUGAAAAGCACCCCGGAAGGGGAGUGAAACAGUUCCUGAAACCGUGUGCCUACAAGUAGUUAGAGCCCGUUAAUGGGUGAUAGCGUGCCUUUUGUAGAAUGAACCGGCGAGUUACGAUUUGUUGCAAGGUUAAGCGGAAAAAGCGGAGCCGUAGCGAAAGCGAGUCUGAAUAGGGCGCAUAAGUAACAGGUCGUAGACCCGAAACCAGGUGAUCUACCCAUGUCCAGGAUGAAGGUAAGGUAAUACUUACUGGAGGUCCGAACCCACGCACGUUGAAAAGUGCGGGGAUGAGGUGUGGGUAGCGGAGAAAUUCCAAUCGAACUUGGAGAUAGCUGGUUCUCUCCGAAAUAGCUUUAGGGCUAGCCUCGAGGUAAAGAGUCAUGGAGGUAGAGCACUGUUUGGACUAGGGGCCCUUCUCGGGUUACCGAAUUCAGAUAAACUCCGAAUGCCAUGUACUUAUACUCGGGAGUCAGACUGCGAGUGAUAAGAUCCGUAGUCGAAAGGGAAACAGCCCAGACCACCAGUUAAGGUCCCCAAAUAUAUGUUAAGUGGAAAAGGAUGUGGGGUUGCUUAGACAACCAGGAUGUUGGCUUAGAAGCAGCCACCAUUGAAAGAGUGCGUAAUAGCUCACUGGUCGAGUGACCCCGCGCCGAAAAUGUACCGGGGCUAAACAUAUUACCGAAACUGUGGAUGAACCUCUUUAGAGGUUCGUGGUAGGAGAGCGUUCUAAGGGCGGUGAAGUCAGACCGGAAGGACUGGUGGAGCGCUUAGAAGUGAGAAUGCCGGUAUGAGUAGCGAAAGAAGGGUGAGAAUCCCUUCCACCGAAUAUCUAAGGUUUCCUGAGGAAGGCUCGUCCGCUCAGGGUUAGUCGGGACCUAAGCCGAGGCCGAUAGGCGUAGGCGAUGGACAACAGGUAGAGAUUCCUGUACCAGUGCUAAUUGUUUAACCGAUGGGGUGACACAGAAGGAUAGGGAAUCGCACGAAUGGAAAUGUGCGUCCAAGCAGUGAGUGUGAGAAGUAGGCAAAUCCGCUUCUCGCGAAGCAUGAGCUGUGAUGGGGAAGGAAAUUAAGUACGGAAGUUCCUGAUUUCACGCUGUCAAGAAAAGCCUCUAGGAAGAGUAGUACUGCCCGUACCGCAAACCGACACAGGUAGAUGAGGAGAGAAUCCUAAGGUGAGCGAGAGAACUCUCGUUAAGGAACUCGGCAAAAUGACCCCGUAACUUCGGGAGAAGGGGUGCUCUAUUAGGGUGCAAGCCCGAGAGAGCCGCAGUGAAUAGGCCCAGGCGACUGUUUAGCAAAAACACAGGUCUCUGCAAAACCGUAAGGUGACGUAUAGGGGCUGACGCCUGCCCGGUGCUGGAAGGUUAAGAGGAGUGCUUAGCUUCGGCGAAGGUACGAAUUGAAGCCCCAGUAAACGGCGGCCGUAACUAUAACGGUCCUAAGGUAGCGAAAUUCCUUGUCGGGUAAGUUCCGACCCGCACGAAAGGCGCAACGAUCUGGGCACUGUCUCAACGAGAGACUCGGUGAAAUUAUAGUACCUGUGAAGAUGCAGGUUACCCGCGACAGGACGGAAAGACCCCGUGGAGCUUUACUGCAACCUGAUAUGGAAUGUUUGUACCGCUUGUACAGGAUAGGUAGGAGCCGAAGAGACGUGUGCGCUAGCAUACGAGGAGGCAAUGGUGGGAUACUACCCUGGCUGUAUGACCAUUCUAACCCGCCACGCUUAGCGCGUGGGGAGACAGUGUCAGGUGGGCAGUUUGACUGGGGCGGUCGCCUCCUAAAGAGUAACGGAGGCGCCCAAAGGUUCCCUCAGAAUGGAUGGAAAUCAUUCGCAGAGUGUAAAGGCACAAGGGAGCUUGACUGCGAGACUGACAAGUCGAGCAGGGACGAAAGUCGGGCUUAGUGAUCCGGUGGUUCCGCAUGGAAGGGCCAUCGCUCAACGGAUAAAAGCUACCCCGGGGAUAACAGGCUUAUCUCCCCCAAGAGUCCACAUCGACGGGGAGGUUUGGCACCUCGAUGUCGGCUCGUCGCAUCCUGGGGCUGUAGUCGGUCCCAAGGGUUGGGCUGUUCGCCCAUUAAAGCGGCACGCGAGCUGGGUUCAGAACGUCGUGAGACAGUUCGGUCCCUAUCCGUCGCGGGCGCAGGAAAUUUGAGAGGAGCUGUCCUUAGUACGAGAGGACCGGGAUGGACACACCGCUGGUGUACCAGUUGUUCCGCCAGGAGCAUCGCUGGGUAGCUAUGUGUGGCAGGGAUAAACGCUGAAAGCAUCUAAGCGUGAAGCCCCCCUCAAGAUGAGAUUUCCCAUUUCUUCGGAAAGUAAGAUCCCUGAAAGAUGAUCAGGUAGAUAGGUUUGGAGUGGAAGUGUAGCGAUACAUGGAGCGGACAAAUACUAAUCGAUCGAGGACUUAACCAAAA
rnacentral:rRNA from 1 species